ACGUCUUCGGAUGGUGGCGACCGGCGCACGGGUGCGUAACGCGUAUACAAUCUACCUUUUACAGGGGCAUAGCCCGGGGAAACCCGGAUUAAUAUCCCAUGGUAUCAAGACAUGGCAUCAUGAUUUGAUUAAGGCUUCGGCGGUAAAAGAUGAAUAUGCGUUCUAUUAACUAGAUGGUAAGGUAACGGCUUACCAUGGCUACGAUAGAUAGGGGUCCUGAGAGGGAGAUCCCCCACACUGGUACUGAGACACGGACCAGACUCCUACGGGAGGCAGCAGUGAGGAAUAUUGGACAAUGGGCGAGAGCCUGAUCCAGCCAUGCCGCGUGCAGGAAGACUGCCCUAUGGGUUGUAAACUGCUUUUAUACGGGAAGAAACACCCCCUCGUGAGGGGGCUUGACGGUACCGUAUGAAUAAGGAUCGGCUAACUCCGUGCCAGCAGCCGCGGUAAUACGGAGGAUCCAAGCGUUAUCCGGAAUCAUUGGGUUUAAAGGGUCCGUAGGCGGGUUUGUAAGUCAGUGGUGAAAGUCUGCAGCUCAACUGUAGAACUGCCAUUGAUACUGCAUACCUUGAGUAAUUAUGAAGUGGUUAGAAUAUGUAGUGUAGCGGUGAAAUGCAUAGAUAUUACAUAGAAUACCGAUUGCGAAGGCAGAUCACUAAUAAUUUACUGACGCUGAUGGACGAAAGCGUAGGUAGCGAACAGGAUUAGAUACCCUGGUAGUCUACGCCGUAUACGAUGGUUACUAGCUGUUCGGCUCGAUUGACAGCUGAGUGGCUAAGCGAAAGUGAUAAGUAACCCACCUGGGGGAGUACGUUCGCAAGAAUGAAACU
rnacentral:rRNA from 1 species